GCAGAAAAUUUCACAGGCCCUUAGAAUGGGGCUAAUGAGAUAAACUUCAGGGAAGAUGGUUUUUAAAACUUGCACUUACAAAAACAUCUAAAUAGAAAGAGUUCAGACCUCAUUUCCUCAAGGUCAUAGUAUCUUGAAAACAAGCUGGCAGUUGGCACAAGAGAGCCAAGUUUUCCCCGUGACUUUUUCAAAGUCAGAUAAGCUAACAACAGGAAUUUACACCAUAAAUCUGUUUAAAUGCGAUGAACCGUGACUGAAGGUGCUCAUUACCUUCAAGUAUCAAGGGCCUCUUUCUCUUUAAGUAGCAGCAGAUUCUACCCUGCACUGGAGAAAUAUGUCCCUACCAGGUUAUAACCUGCUGCUGGAAUUUUCACUUUGCAUAAUCUCUAAUAGUCUCAGGAAUCAGCCAUGUUGUAAAUUAAAAUGUUUAAGGUUGUGCAAAUUUUAUUUUUCCAACUCCUGCUUUUAUUGAGUUGUCUGCAGAUAUAAGGAGACAGGUUUGGCCGUUCCCCACACAUUUUCUGAGCCCAAAUUACAUACUCAGUGAACUGAAGUAGGUAAGAUAUUAAUUCCCAAGGUCAAGGACCACGAAUAGGUCCAAAAAGGUUAUGGGGGAAAUAAAAAGAACGCCCGGUGGUCUGGCCCUCUGGUAAACAGGUACUAUGUUUACUAGCGGUGUGACCUUGGACGAGUCACUGGGCCUCUCUAAGCCUCAGCUCCCUUGUCUGUAAAUUCUCCUUCAAAGAUUGGAUCAUAAACACUAUGCACCAUGUUCAGCACAUGAAAAGCACUGAACAAAUUAUCAACCAUAACUGUUAUGAUAAAUAUCUCUUUCCACUAAUGGACAUGUCAAGCUGCAGAACAUAAGCAAGUGGCAUCCAGGGCAAAGUGAGACAGCAGGGUAUGGUAUAAAGAACCACCACUGGGCAACCAGGAUAACUGGAGAUCUGGACUCUUUUCUCGGUGGCACCGAUGGCAAGGCACGUGACCUGGGGCAAGCUAUUAGCCUCUCUAAACCAAAGUGUUAUCAUUUUAAAAACCAGAAUCCAAAGAACAACGCUGCAACACUGGAAUGCCUAAGUCACCACUCUCUUUGAUAUCGCAGAAUCUGACUAAAAAUAUACUGGCAGCUGCCUCAACAUCAUAUCUAGAGCGAUAAAAUUCACUCUCUUUAGGAAAGAAACAUAUUUAAAGUCCAUCUGCAAAGCAGUGGAAGGAGCGCGUUGAGGGUGGGAGAUGAGAGGGCAAAUAAAUCAAACUCAUCCGCACCCACUGCCUCCAAAUGAUAACUUUUCUCCAUCUCCCUUAAAUUACAGGCUCUAACUCAGCCAUUUUUGUAGCACCCUGCAGGACUUCAGCAAAUGAGAACAACUGAGAAAGCUAAAAAUAUCAUCAGGCUAUUUGCUCUGCUGCCUUAUGUACACCUGAUGCAAUAUUAGAACCAGGAGGCAGCUGGCAUCUGAGGGCUGAACUGCAAAAGCCAACAAGACAGGGACAAGUUUGAGAGGCAUAAAAUCUGUGAAGUGCAGGAAGUUUUAAGCUUCCCCUGGAACUAUCCACCGUCUUAGCUUAAAACCCCCAAUAACAAUGGCUUAGGAAGAAAUAGUUCUCUUUCCUUCACUGUAAAAAUAUCCUGAUUUCUUCUUUGCCAGAUUUCUCCUAAAAAGCAGAAGAGCCGGUGGCUUAUUUUGAUUAGGCCAAUUACAGCAAUAUGGACAAUGUGUAGUCCACAAUUUUCUUCUUGGCACACCUAACACACCCAAGGGUCGGUCUGUCUCUGGGUGUCUCAUUCCAGCCACUCAUUAGGCUGUGUCCUUAGUCUGAACUGUCCGAAGCUGUUCUCAUUCUCCGUCUCUACCGUUUUCACCCCAACCCUUCACCCAGUCAUCUGAAAUAGAGGGCCCUGAGACUUGAGGCUCUGCUCACAAUUGCUCUGCUUGGCUGAGUAGAUGGGAAGCUGGAGGAAGAGAAGAGUCUAAGGGGGCGUGAAGCUUCGUGAAGCUACAGCCCCACCCAGACUCUCUGGACAUCUGGAAAAAGAAAAAAGAAUACUAUGAUCUCCAAGGUGUCUUCCAGCCCUGACAUUCUGUGAUAUUGUGAACCCCAAGCUUCAAAAUACUAAGCAGUUAUCAGUCUAGCUCUUCAACAGACAGCAACAACUCAGCCACUUUCCGUAUUUGACCAGCCACCUGAUCUCCGUGAAAAUUCUCAACAGAGAGCGAGGAACUUCGUGUCUUCUAAGCGUGGCAACUUGGAUUGGCUCCAUGACACUGGCGUCUCUUCAUAUUUGCAUAUCAGACGUUGGCUGUAU